CCCCAUGCUCACGCAUGGGGCUAAGUGCUGCCGUCGCUCCGCGACU
rnacentral:sRNA from 1 species